rnacentral:lncRNA from 1 species
GGUGUUUUGGUCUUUAUCCUGUUGUACAGCGCCUCAUUUUUUACAAUGUGGGCCAGUAACUAUUUCGUAUCACCUACUCUGACCACCUUCAGGGUUGUUAUGAGGCUCAAAGGAACGGCUGCUGUGAAAAAACAUGCUUUGCAAUUUAUGAAGCACUGGAUAAACAUCAGGAACGGUAUAAAAGCAUGCUGCUUACUCAAGAAAUACUAGUUGAGUGCCUGUGUGUUGGGCACUGGCUAGAGAUAAGGGUCUCCUAUGGACAGAAGUGCGGGCAAGGAGCUUUGUUCCUCCCCGAUGUCACCCUCCCACAGCCCACUUGCUAGCAGGCAAGAGAGGGGUGGAGGCCGGCAGUAAGGCAUGUACUGAACUGGACCUCUGGUGGAAUGGGUCACCCACGCUGGGCUUGGUGGGUAUUUGAAAGUGACUCUUUCGUGAACACUGUUGUGAGCCCUCACUGGGAAUGUCUGGCCAUGCUUCCUGACGCUGGCAAUGAAUUUUCUCUAGCUGCUUAUUCUACCCCAACCUUGGUCUUCCUUCUGUCCCCUCCAUGCAGACUCUUACCAUCAGGGUCCUGCCAACCCUUCAGUGAGACUUUUUCCGAAGAAUCCCUUUUAAAAUGACCUCAAGCUGACCUUCCUGAUGCAGAUUCCACAUAUGGUAUCUGAGACUCACACAGUGUGGUUGGAAGAUAGCACAGUGACCUCCCAGGCACAGCCCUCUGCCAGCCCUCCACUGGCUGCCCUAGGAUGCUGGCCUUCCUCCGAUGGGAGUCGGGCCCAGUCUGCUGUGAGCCAGGAGAAGCCAGCAAGCUCCCUGCGAGGCCUGGAGGAGCCCUUCUCACUCAGCUUGGUGUUCGAUGCCAGUGCCCCCGCCCAUUGUGGGGUGAGGGUGGGACUCUCAGCACAGCCCUGUCCAAAUAAAUCCUCUAAAG